GUAAGGGUGAUCUGACUGCAGCAUAGGUCACUCCACUGAUAGCCAGAGCUGAGCCAGCUCACCAGGUACAUGUGUCCCUCUUGAAGCUGCAAGCUCUCUUGAUUGAAGGGGAUGAAGUUCCCUCAGAGAAGAGCACCGUUUCUUUAGUCAGGGGUAUAGCAAGGAGCUGCACUCCCCUUCUAGAACCCUCAAACAAGCUCCCAAGGUCCAUCUGUAGAAGAAUGCAGGGUAGUCAAACUUCCAAGACUCCAGACACAACUCAUUGUUAGAUGGUGCCUAAGACAUUCUG
rnacentral:snRNA from 1 species